UUAGGAAUAUUCGUCAAUGGGGGAAACCCUGAACGAGCAAUGCCGCGUGAAUGAAGAAGGCCCUAUGGGUUGUAAAAUUCUGUUGUAUGGAAAGAAAUGUAAAGUUAGGAAAUGAACUUUACUUGACGGUACCAUUCAAGAAAGCCACGGCUAACUACGUGCCAGCAGCCGCGGUAAUACGUAGGUGACAAGCGUUGUCCGGAUUUACUGGGUGUAAAGGGCGCGUAGGCGGACUGUCAAGUCAGUCGUGAAAUACCGGGGCUUAACCCCGGGGCUGCGAUUGAAACUGACAGCCUUGAGUAUCGGAGAGGAAAGCGGAAUUCCUAGUGUAGCGGUGAAAUGCGUAGAUAUUAGGAGGAACACCAGUGGCGAAGGCGGCUUUCUGGACGACAACUGACGCUGAGGCGCGAAAGUGUGGGGAGCAAACAGGAUUAGAUACCCUGGUAGUCCACACCGUAAACGAUGGAUACUAGGUGUAGGAGGUAUCGACCCCUUCUGUGCCGCAGUUAACACAAUAAGUAUCCCACCUGGGGAGUACGACCGCAAGGUUGAAACUCAAAGGAAUUGACGGGGGCCCGCACAAGCAGUGGAGUAUGUGGUUUAAUUCGAAGCAACGCGAAGAACCUUACCUGGGCUUGACAUCCCUGGAAUCGAGUAGAGAUACUUGAGUGCCUUCGGGAAUCAGGUGACAGGUGGUGCAUGGUUGUCGUCAGCUCGUGUCGUGAGAUGUUGGGUUAAGUCCCGCAACGAGCGCAACCCCUAUUGUCAGUUGCCAUCAUUAAGUUGGGCACUCUGGCGAGACUGCCGGUGACAAAUCGGAGGAAGGUGGGGACGACGUCAAAUCAUCAUGCCCCUUAUGCCCAGGGCUACACACGUACUACAAUGGCCGAUAACAAAGUGCAGCGAAACCGUGAGGUGGAGCGAAUCACAAAACUCGGUCUCAGUUCAGAUUGCAGGCUGCAACUCGCCUGCAUGAAGUUGGAAUUGCUAGUAAUCGCGGAUCAGAAUGCCGCGGUGAAUACGUUCCC
rnacentral:rRNA from 1 species